CUUCUAUGACGUUAGCGGCGGACGGGUGAGUAACACGUGGGCAACCUGCCUGUAAGACUGGGAUAACUUCGGGAAACCGAAGCUAAUACCGGAUAGGAUCUUCUCCUUCAUGGGAGAUGAUUGAAAGAUGGUUUCGGCUAUCACUUACAGAUGGGCCCGCGGUGCAUUAGCUAGUUGGUGAGGUAACGGCUCACCAAGGCAACGAUGCAUAGCCGACCUGAGAGGGUGAUCGGCCACACUGGGACUGAGACACGGCCCAGACUCCUACGGGAGGCAGCAGUAGGGAAUCUUCCGCAAUGGACGAAAGUCUGACGGAGCAACGCCGCGUGAGUGAUGAAGGCUUUCGGGUCGUAAAACUCUGUUGUUAGGGAAGAACAAGUACGAGAGUAACUGCUCGUACCUUGACGGUACCUAACCAGAAAGCCACGGCUAACUACGUGCCAGCAGCCGCGGUAAUACGUAGGUGGCAAGCGUUAUCCGGAAUUAUUGGGCGUAAAGCGCGCGCAGGCGGUUUCUUAAGUCUGAUGUGAAAGCCCACGGCUCAACCGUGGAGGGUCAUUGGAAACUGGGGAACUUGAGUGCAGAAGAGAAAAGCGGAAUUCCACGUGUAGCGGUGAAAUGCGUAGAGAUGUG
rnacentral:rRNA from 1 species